rnacentral:rRNA from 1 species
UACGUAGGGUGCAAGCGUUAAUCGGAAUUACUGGGCGUAAAGCGUGCGCAGGCGGUUUUGUAAGUCUGACGUGAAAGCCCCGGGCUUAACCUGGGAAUUGCGUUGGAGACUGCAAGGCUUGAAUCUGGCAGAGGGGGUGGAAUUCCACGGUGUAGCAGGUGAAAUGCGUAGAGAUGUGGAGGAACACCGAUGGCGAAGGCAGCCCCCUGGGCUGAGAUUGACGCUCAGGCACGAAAGCGUGGGGAGCAAACAGGG